UACGAAAUGUGCGAGCGUUGUUCGGAAUCACUGGGCAUAAAGGGUCUGUAGGCGGUCUUAUUAGUUGGUGGUGAAAUACCUCGGCUCAACCGGGGAACUGCCACCAAUACUGUAAGACUUGAGUGUGAAAGGGGUAAGUGGAAUUCCAGGUGUAGCGGUGGAAUGCGUAGAUAUCUGGGAGAACGCCAAAGGCGAAGGCAGCUUACUGGGUCACAACUGACGCUGAGAGACGAAAGCUAGGGUAGCGAACGGG
rnacentral:rRNA from 1 species